CUGAUGAACGUUAGUCCUCUAGUUCCUCUUUCUGGCCAGUUAAAACAUUCUUCCGUACUCUCCCCCUAUUCAUUCAUAGAAUGGACGACUGGAGAAGAGAGGUCUAGAUACACAGUCAAACAGGUAAGCCAUGGACUCUCCAUUGUGGAUGCGUCGGAUGGCCUCGGCCAGGAUCAUACUGACGUCCACUGUCUUGAUCUUGGGACACUGGAGCUUCUGGACCUCAUGAGGGACUGUAUUGGUCACCACCACCUGGGGGGCACAAGGACACAAAAUGGAGAGCCAGGUUUCAGCAGGACCUAUGUUUAAGAAUGCCCUUUGAAUAAUUCAGCCCAUAUUGGAAAACAGUGUAUUUGCAGAGUUUGAGUAUGCAUUGCAUAUUACUGUAUUUGGGUAUCGCUGUGUGUACUUGUCUUUUUAAGAAAGCAUAGAUUUGUUUGAUUUAUCCAGCAAAUAGACACUUCUGACCUUGAGCAGCUUCAAGUAUGAGAGCAGCACAGACUACUUACAAUAAUUGUCAGUUGUGUUGAUGUUAGAAAAGAGCCAUUUCAGGCUUAAUAAAAGCCUGUACGAGUA